UACUGGAAUGUACUUGUGGUGGUGACGGUGGAGUGAAGUCCUCACCUGAUUGUUUGAGGUGGAGGUGGUGGCGAUGGUGGAGGUGGCGUGUAGGGGGGAAGGAUGUAGGUGGAUGAUGAUAAUAAUAAUGGAGAAUGGAAGUGGUGGGCAGCACGAUUGUUUUGCAGGCUGUGCUGGUGGUGAUAAGAAACACAAUAAGUGGUGAUUUAAAUGAGGCUUUAUUUAGUCUUGUGUAAUGCGUUGUGUGCACGGUGAGUGAAUGACUGUGUGGAAAGCUGAGAUGCGACGUGAUGCUGUAUGUGUGUGUGUAUGUGUGUGUGUGUGUGUGGCGGCGUUGGAGCUGUCAAAUAGUUCACACCAACAAGUGACCAUGACGAAGGUGAAGUGACUCGUGUUAUUAUUGGCCAGAAGAAAAAAAAAUGUGUGUGAGAGAGAGAGAGAGAGAGAGAGAGAGAGAGAGAGAGGAGAGAGAGAGAGAGAGAGAGAGAGAGAGAGAGUAGGCGCGUCACCGUAACAUAAAGUGUGGAAGUAAAUAGUCACACCAGCCAUGAGCAGAGUAGUAGCAGGUUUACGGGCGAGAGAAAUUAUAGUCCACUCUUCUUGUAAUGGUGCGGCGUGAGCAGUUGGUGAAUAAUUAGUGACUCAGCAGUGUUAUUCUCAUGAAGGGUAGUGACCGGGACGAGAGGGGCGGCCAGGCGGGUCUUCCACCACUCUAGGAAACUUGCAGCCGUGCCCUUGAUGUUGGCAUGCGCUAAGGUUGGGUUAGGUUAACUUAGUUUAGCUUUGGUUAGGUUAGCAGUGCAAGUCAAUGAAAACGAACAGGAAAAUAGACGUAUCUGAUUUAGCAGUCUGAGAAGUUAUUGAUGGAAUCUUGAGGUGAGCAGUUUAAACCAGUGAAAAGGAACGAGAAAAUAGACGUAUCUUAUUUAGUAGUCUGAAAGGUUAUUUAUUGAUUCUUCAGUUUAGCAGUUUAAGUCAGUGAAAACGAACAAGGAAAUGGACAUGCCAAAUUUAGUAAUCUGUAAAGUUAUUCAUGGUUUCAUUGCACGUAAAGGCACUUAGUUUGUGAUGUAGGUGGGUAGCAUGGUAGGUAAGGUUUGUGUGGUGUAGUGAGUGAAAGAGAUAAAGAAAGACUAAUGUAAGACAGCAAUCAGGAAAGAAAAAAAAAUCAUGGAUCCAUUAAACAUUAUAAUCGGAUAAGGAAAGGAGUAUGCAUGACUUGUAUAGAGAAUUAACCUUGAACGAAAUGGGAAGAGAGCGAAGACUUGAAUUCAAAAUGAUGACAUGAAAAAAAAAAAGAAAAAAAAGAAUUUACUAUAAGUAUAUUGCGUUCAGUUAUAUAUGUAAUUAUUUCGAAGAGUGUGCAUGGCUAGAUAGAUGACUGACCUUGAUUAGAAGUAAAAAAAAAAAAAAGAAAAAGAAAAAGAAAGAAAAUAACUAGAAAAUUAAAGUUACUCACGAAUUUAUGUAUUAUAACCGCUUGAAGAUGAAGAUGAGAUAACUAGUAGGGGAAAGUGAUUAAAGGGGAGAAAUAUAUAUGUAAAUUUGCAGUUUCGGCCAACACCCAUUUUCAUGUACUAUUUCCUGUUAGUAGAUAAAAUGAAGCUAAGGUUAGAGAAACAGUCCCAACAGUGAGGCGCAGCUGAGACUUCUGGAUGUUUAUAACCACGUUUAUUAUAAUGCAUGAAACUACAAAUCCCUUUCCCUUCUCCGUCCCCACCCAAAAAAAAAAAAAAAAAAAAAAAAAAGAAAAGAAAGAAAAGAAAAAGAAAAGACAUGCACUAGACAGUAAUGGAGAAAAGUAUACAUAUGACCAUGGCUGAGGGAACGGUUCGGCGACCAUGAAGGAAAGCCAGGCGUGAAAUGACCAUGAGUGGAACGAGAGACUGGAAGGAAAUGAAAAAAAAAAAAAAAAAAAAACUAACCCCUUUUACGCGUUGGGUCACCUGGGUAGUUAGCAUGGUUGGGUUAGGUUAAGUUAGGUUAGAUUGGGUUGUUUGUUUAGGUUACCUUAGAUUUUUUGGUUAGGUUAGGUUAAGUUAAGUAGGGUUACGUUAGCUUAGGUUGUCUGGUUAGGUUACAUUAGGUUUGGUUGCCUGGUCAGUUUAGGUUAAAUUGUUUGGUUAAGUUAGCUUUUUUUGGUUACGUUAGCUUGUUUGGUUAGCUUAGUUUAGUUAGAUUGCUUGGUUAGGUUACGUUACGUCUGGUUGUUUGGUUAGUUUAGGUUAGAUUUAGUUAAGCUAUAGAAAUGCGGUAGGGUGAAUAGUGGUGGUGGUGGUGGUGGUGGUGGUCAGAAGUGUGGUAAUAAUGGUGGGAGUUUUGCUCACGUGGCCAAGAAUAUAAAUAAUUAGGGAAAAAAUUUGUAAUGUUCCCGUGAGAAUGUUAGAUGACGUGAUACAGAGUGGUCAAGGAUGAGAGUGUGCCACGAGUAUGA